CUCUGAUGCUACCCGAGAUCUGCUUUUUGAGUAAACACUUUCAUAGUUCCGUUAGUGAUGUAGUGUCAAACUUUUCCAAGUUUACAAAUUGUGAUAUAUACCAGUGAGAAGGGAAGGAGAAUCAGGGAGUUGACAUCUCUUGUGGAGAAGAGAUUCAGGUUUCCUCAAGACAGUGUUGAGCUUUACGUUGAGAAUGCCAACAGAGGUCUCUGCGCCAUUGCUCAGGCUGAGUCUCUCCGUUACAAGCUCCUCGGUGGACUUGCUGUUUGCAGGUAUGUACAUUUCAUAAAAAUAGAUGCAGUGUAUCUGUAAAACCAUGUUAGAAACCUGAUAGCUUCACAUAGUGAUAUCAUCACACAUUAUAAUGUGGAACCAGUUACUUGUUGUGUGUGUAAUAUGGUACGAACUGAUGAAUACAAACAUUAUAAUUUGUUUCCUCUGUAGCCCUUCUGUUCUCUUC